GGAAGCGUGCCCGAGCAGGGACUACCUUGAUAGCGUAGACACGGAGCCAAAAUUCCCACUUCCC
rnacentral:tRNA from 1 species